rnacentral:rRNA from 1 species
GACGAACGCUGGCGGCGUGCUUAACACAUGCAAGUCGAACGGAAAGGCCCUGCUUUUGUGGGGUGCUCGAGUGGCGAACGGGUGAGUAACACGUGAGUAACCUGCCCUUGACUUUGGGAUAACUUCAGGAAACUGGGGCUAAUACCGGAUAGGAGCUCCUGCUGCAUGGUGGGGGUUGGAAAGUUUCGGCGGUUGGGGAUGGACUCGCGGCUUAUCAGCUUGUUGGUGGGGUAGUGGCUUACCAAGGCUUUGACGGGUAGCCGGCCUGAGAGGGUGACCGGGCCACAUUGGGACGAGGAAACGGCCCAACCUCCCAGGGGGGGAAGAGGGGGGGAAAUUGCCAAAAGGGGGGGAGGCCGAGUGCGACAACGCCGGGGGGGGGAUGCGGGCUUUGGGGUUGAAAACCGCUUUCCCCUGUGACGAAGGGGGGGGGCGGGAAAUGGGUAAAAAAGCCCCGGCAAAUUAGGG